AUUGAACGCUGGCGGCAUGCCUUACACAUGCAAGUCGAACGGCAGCACGGGUGCUUGCACCUGGUGGCGAGUGGCGAACGGGUGAGUAAUACAUCGGUACACGUCCUGUAGUGGGGGAUAGCCCGGCGAAAGCCGGAUUCAUCCCGCGUACGAUCUACGGAUGAAAGCGGGGGCCCUGCCGGCCUCGCACUGAGGGGCUGGUCGAUGGCUGAUUAGCUAGUUGGUGGGGUAAAGGCCUACCAAGGCGACGAUCAGUAGCUGGUCUGAGAGGACGACCAGCCACACUGGGACUGAGACACGGCCCAGACUCCUACGGGAGGCAGCAGUGGGGAAUUUUGGACAAUGGGCGAAAGCCUGAUCCAGCCAUGCCGCGUGUGUGAAGAAGGCCUUCGGGUUGUAAAGCACUUUUGUCCGGAAAGAAAUGCUUGGCCCUAAUACGGGCGGGGGAUGACGGUACCGGAAGAAUAAGCACCGGCUAACUACGUG
rnacentral:rRNA from 1 species